UACGUAGGCAGCAAGCGUUGUUCGGAGUUACUGGGCGUAAAGGGUGUGUAGGCGGUUCUUUAAGUUUGCUGUGAAAUCUCCCGGCUUAACCGGGAGGGUGCGGUGAAUACUGAGGGACUAGAGUACGGGAGAGGAAAGCGGAAUUCCUGGUGUAGAGGUGAAAUUCGUAGAUAUCAGGAGGAACACCGGUGGCGAAGGCGGCUUUCUGGACGACAACUGACGCUGAGACGCGAAAGCGUGGGGAGCAAACAGG
rnacentral:rRNA from 1 species